UUGGGAAUCUUGCACAAUGGGGGAAACCCUGAUGCAGCGACGCCGCGUGGAGGAUGACGGAUUUAGGUCUGUAAACUCCUUUUAUCGGGAAAGACUUAGGACGGUACCCGAUGAAUAAGGACCGGCUAACUACGUGCCAGCAGCCGCGGUAAGACGUAGGGUCCAAGCGUUGUCCGGAUUUACUGGGCGUAAAGAGCGCGUAGGCGGUCUGUUAAGUGUGAAGUGAAAUCUCCAGAGCUCAACUCGGAAACUGCUUCGCAUACUGGCAGACUUGAGGAAUGCAGAGGUAAGUAGAAUUCCUGGUGUAGCGGUGACAUGCAUUGAUAUCAGGAGGAAUACCCAUGGCGAAGGCAGCUUACUGGGCAUUAUCUGACGCUGAGGCGCGAAAGCGUGGGGAGCAAACAGG
rnacentral:rRNA from 1 species